UACGUAGGGGGCUAGCGUUGUCCGGAAUCAUUGGGCGUAAAGAGCGUGUAGGCGGCUCGGUAAGUCCGCUGUGAAAGUCCAGGGCUCAACCCUGGAAUGCCGGUGGAAACUGUCGGGCUAGAGUCCGGAAGAGGCGAGUGGAAUUCCUGGUGUAGCGGUGAAAUGCGCAGAUAUCAGGAGGAACACCGGUGGCGAAGGCGGGUCUCUGGGCCGAUACUGACGCUGAGGAGCGAAAGCGUGGGGAGCGAACAGG
rnacentral:rRNA from 1 species